AGUGAACGCUGGCGGUAGGCCUAACACAUGCAAGUCGAACGGCAGCACAGUAAGAGCUUGCUCUUACGGGUGGCGAGUGGCGGACGGGUGAGGAGUACAUCGGAAUCUACUUUUUCGUGGGGGAUAACGUAGGGAAACUUACGCUAAUACCGCAUCCGACCUACGGGUGAAAGCGGGGGAUCUUCGGACCUUGCGCGAUUGAAUGCGCGGAUGUUGGAUUAGCUAGUUGGCGGGGUAAAGGCCCACCAAGGCGACGAUCCGUAGCUGGUCUGAGAGGAUGAUCAGCCACACUGGAACUGAGACACGGUCCAGACUCCUACGGGAGGCAGCAGUGGGGAAUAUGGGACAAUGGGCGCAAGCCUGAUCCAGCCAUACCGCGUGUGUGAAGAAGGCCUUCGGGUUGUAAAGCCCUUUUGUUGGGAAAGAAAAGCAGCAGGUUAAUACCCCGCUGUUCUGACGGUACCCAAAGAAUAAGCACCGGCUGACUUCGUG
rnacentral:rRNA from 1 species